rnacentral:rRNA from 1 species
ACCGCCUGGGGAGUACGGCCGCAAGGUUAAAACUCAAAUGAAUUGACGGGGGCCCGCACAAGCGGUGGAGCAUGUGGUUUAAUUCGUGCAACGCGAAGAACCUUACCNACUCUUGACAUCCAAAGAAUUCUCUAGAGAUAGAUUAGUGCCUUCGGGAACUCUGAGACAGGUGCUGCAUGGCUGUCGUCAGCUCGUGUUGUGAAAUGUUGGGUUAUCNCGCAACGAA